AACAAGAAUUGGACAGUGAUUGCUUGCGCAAAUCUAGCUAAAGCUAAUCUGGGCUUCUUGGUCAAGCAAAGUGAAAGUGGGUUCGAGAUAUGAGGGGUUAAGUGAAACCAAGCAAAGCCAUUUCCAAACCGUACAUACACAUUUACUUGGCCUCAUUAUGUUUAGACAGACAGUCCCAGCGUGGGUCAGAAGACACUCCCACAAGGCAAUCCUUCAUGGCCUCAGCUUCUUACAACACACAACUAUUUCUUCUACAAAUUUUGCUUUCUUAUGAUAGGACAAUAGAACCCAUCACUCAAAGGGGGGGGGGGGGGGGGUGGUCUGUUUCACAAAGGAAAGCAGAAACCAGAAGAAAAAAACGCUUUGUGGUGAAGAUCAGUGGCAACUGGAGCUGUGAAGAAUGGAGAAGGCUGUGGUUGUCACAACUUGGAGAAUGCUUGUGAAGCAAAUGGGUUUCUUUGGCUUAUGUGAAGGUUGGGCUGAUUAUGGAAUAAACCCCAUUUUCAAAGUCCAAUCUUUGCAACUCGCUCUGCUCUUUCUCUUCUGCUUUGCCUUUUGAUGAUGGUGUUGGUGGUGGUGAUAUUGGCGGGACGGCUCAAUCUCUUAAUUUUAUGAUAUAAUUUUUAUUUCUUUUUCUUUUUAUCAUGAUGUUGUCCAUAUUGAAAGUUUAUGCAAAUGUUCUUUCUAAUGACACUAACUUGCCCCUUUGGUUUUGCAUUUGUGCCUUACUGCUUCUUGAAGAAAACCCCAAUAUUCCUUCAUAAAGCAAAGAAAGAAAAAGCAGCAGAUGAUAGAUUUUAUGCAGUAAAUAUGGGGCAGACAACUCUGUUUAGGAGUUGGUGAGUACUGAGUAAAGCUUUUAAUUUUUUGGGGUCCAUUAAUCUGCAGAGCAUUCAAUGUUACAGCACUGUUUCAUUAUCAAUUACAAAAUUUUCUGUCAGUCUUUUGCUUCUGUCUCUUUACAAUGUAUUUUUUUGUUGUCCCUUGGAAUUGAUAGCUAGCAUUAAAUUCUACUAGGUACUUUCAUUUUCAUUAUGUAUCAUACUUGUGAAGCAAAAAAGUUAUCAUUGAGGAUUUCCUUUUCAACGAUAA